CUAAGAUACCUGAUGCUCAGGCGGCAUAUGAAUCUGCAAACACUCUUCAAGCUUCUGCCUUAGCCGGUGUUAACUUUAUGU
rnacentral:ncRNA from 1 species